rnacentral:tRNA from 1 species
GGUCCGUUCGGUUAGUGGCAGGCCGCGGGUUUCUCAGACCCGUUGCGCGGGUUCGAUUCCCGCACGGACUAC